rnacentral:miRNA from 1 species
GCGUGGAGUGAAGUGGAGUGGAGUGGAGUGGCGUGGCGUGGCGUGGCGUGGCGUGGCGUGGCGUGGAGGCCUGCCCCAUGGCUGCUCUGUGUCUCUGGCA